GAUUGAACGCUGGCGGCAGGCCUAACACAUGCAAGUCGAACGGUAACAGGAAGCAGCUUGCUGCUUYGCUGACGAGUGGCGGACGGGUGAGUAAUGUCUGGGAAACUGCCUGAUGGAGGGGGAUAACUACUGGAAACGGUGGCUAAUACCGCAUAACGUCGCAAGACCAAAGAGGGGGACCUUCGGGCCUCUUGCCAUCAGAUGUGCCCAGAUGGGAUUAGCUWGUUGGUGAGGUAACGGCUCACCAAGGCGACGAUCCCUAGCUGGUCUGAGAGGAUGACCAGCCACACUGGAACUGAGACACGGUCCAGACUCCUACGGGAGGCAGCAGUGGGGAAUAUUGCACAAUGGGCGCAAGCCUGAUGCAGCCAUGCCGCGUGUAUGAAGAAGGCCUUCGGGUUGUAAAGUACUUUCAGCGGGGAGGAAGG
rnacentral:rRNA from 1 species